AUGGCGGCUGCACGGGCGCACAUGGAGAGGCUCCGGCGGGAGCGGUACUACAUCGGGCGCGGCGAGCAGAACCCGCUGGUGGAGGACAUGCACCAGGCGGUGAACUACCUGAGCCAGGAGCUCUACUCCAAGGACGUCCACUUCCUCAUGGAGCUCGUCCAGAACGCUGAAGACAAUGAGUACCCUGAUGGAGUAGCACCGUCAUUGGAGUUUCUAGUAACAUCAACUGACAUCACUGGGUCUGGUGCAUCGUCAACUUUACUCAUUUUCAACAAUGAGAAGGGCUUCUCUCUGUCGAAUAUUUAG
rnacentral:rRNA from 1 species